rfam:Magnaporthe poae ATCC 64411 unplaced genomic scaffold supercont1.4, whole genome shotgun sequence.
GGGCGAAUGGUUUAGUGGUAUAACGCUUCCUUAGCAUCUUAUAUGACUCUCGGAUGAAACAAUUCCAGGAGCAUUGGAUCCGACUGGAAGAGGUCCGGGGUUCGAUUCCCCGUUUGUCCA